rnacentral:rRNA from 1 species
AGUGGAUGGGGAGCAACCUAGUUGUGCGUGUGUAAAGGUAGUGCCAAGAAAAGCGAUGAUCAUGUUGAAAAUCAAUUCCCGGUACCCGAAACCGACACAGGUGGGCAAGUAGAGAAUACUAAGGGGCGCGAGGUAACUCUCUCCAAGGAACUCGGCAAAAUGACCCCGUAACUUAGGGAGAAGGGGUGCCACCGAGAGGUGGUCGCAGUGAAGAGGCCCAGGCGACUGUUUAGCAAAAACAUAGGUCUCUGCAAACUCGAAAGAGGAGGUAUAGGGGCUGACGCCUGCCCAGUGCCGGAAGGUUAAAGAAGUUGGUCAGUUUUAGGAUGAAGCUAGCGACUGAAGCCCCGGUGAACGGCGGCCGUAACUAUAACGGUCCUAAGGUAGCGAAAUUCCUUGUCGGGUAAGUUCCGACCUGCACGAAAGGCGUAACGAUCUGGGCGCUGUCUCGGAGAGAGGCUCGGCGAAAUAGGAUUGUCUGUGAAGAUACGGACUACCUGCAUUUGGACAGAAAGACCCUAUGAAGCUUUACUAUAGCUUGGAAUUGUGUUCGGGCUUCCUGUGCGCAGGAUAGGUGGGAGGCGUAGAAGGUAUUCUUGUGGGGAUACUGGAGCCAACGGUGAGAUACCACUCUCAGGAGGCUAGAAUUCUAACUUAAUUAAGGACAGUUUCAGGUGGGUAGUUUGACUGGGGCGGUCGCCUCCAAAAAGGUAACGGAGGCGUACAAAGGUUCCCUCAGACUGGUUGGAAAUCAGUCGAAGAGUGCAAAGGCAGAAGGGAGCUUGACUGCGAGAAGUACAGUUCGAGCAGGGUGGAAACACGGUCUUAGUGAUCCGACGGUGCUGUGUGGAAGGGCCGUCGCUCAACGGAUAAAAGUUACUCUAGGAUAACAGGCUGAUCUCCCCCAAGAGUUCACAUCGACGGGGAGGUUUGGCACCUCGAUGUCGGCUCAUCGCAACCUGGGGCGGAAGUACGUCCCAAGGGUUGGGCUGUUCGCCCAUUAAAGCGGUACGUGAGCUGGGUUCAGAACGUCGUGAGACAGUUCGGUCCAUAUCCGAUGUAGGCGUGAGAAUAUUGAGAGGAGCCUUCCUUAGUACGAGAGGACCGGGAAGGACGCACCGCUGGUGUACCUGUUAUGAUGCCAAUUGUAAACGCAGGGUAGCCAAGUGCGGAGAGGAUAACCGCUGAAAGCAUCUAAGUGGGAAGCCCACCUCAAGAUGAGUAUUCUGGUGUAAGGUCACGGGAAGACGACCCGUAAAUAGGCACGAGGUGGAAGUGCAGAGAUGUAUGAAGCCGAAGUGUACUAAUAGACCGUCGGCUUGACC